CAAUAGCGUAUAUUAAAGUUGUUGCGGUUAAAAAGCUCGUAGUUGGGUUUCUGUCGGUGAGCGAAGGUCCGCCCUAGUGGUUGGUACACUUCGCGCCGCCGACAUCUUCCUGGGGAAUGUGUCUGCACUUCACUGUGUGGCGCGGGAACCAGGACGUUUACUUUGAGGAAAUUACAGUGCUUCAAGCAGGCUCACGCUCUCUGAAUACGUUAGCAUGGAAUAAUAGCAUCGGACCUCGAUCCAAAGCUGUUGGUUUCUUGGAUCUGGGUAAAGGUGAAUAGGGAUUGUUGGGGGCAUUCGUAUUUAACUGUCAGAGGUGAAAUUCUUGGAUUCGCUGAAGACUAACUUAUGCGAAAGCAUUCACCAAGGAUGUCUUCUUUAAUCAAGAACGAAAGUUGGGGGAUCGAAGACGAUUAGAUACCGU
rnacentral:rRNA from 1 species